rnacentral:rRNA from 1 species
AUGAGGAAGGACAGUACUGGUCGAACACACGCGACAGGGGCAUACAGAACUACGGAACACGAACGGUGGUUUUAUUUUAUUCAGCGCGCGCGCGCGCGAGCGCAUGCGGCGGCUGGUGAUGAUACGCUGGGUGGUGGUGAACUGGUGGUGAUGGUGCUUGCUUGCUUGUCCUCCUCAUCCUCGUGCUCGCCUCUGCCGGCCGGCCUCCUGGGCGCCGGCUCAGUUGCAGCUGCAGCAGGAGCAGCCGCACGCGGUGCCGCACUUGCAGGUGGUGCAGUCGCAGCCGCCGGUCUCCCCGGCCGUCUCGAACCCGCCGGAGUACCCCUUGUGGGAGGCGGUGGGCAUGACCAUGGCGGCGGCGCCGGCGGUGGCCUCCACGUCGGGGAACAUCUUGCACCUACCGCAGCCGUUGCCGCACUUGCAGCCGGCGCCGCACCCGCAGUUGCCGCCGCAGCAAGACAUCCUCCUUUCCUUGGUGGGUGGCGGCGAGGGAAGGAAGCUAAGGACUGA